rnacentral:rRNA from 1 species
UACGUAGGUGGCAAGCGUUGUCCGGAAUUAUUGGGCGUAAAGCGCGCGCAGGCGGUUCUUUAAGUCUGAUGUGAAAGCCCACGGCUCAACCGUGGAGGGUCAUUGGAAACUGGGGGACUUGAGUGCAGAAGAGGAAAGCGGAAUUCCACGUGUAGCGGUGAAAUGCGUAGAGAUGUGGAGGAACACCAGUGGCGAAGGCGGAUUUCUGGUCUGUAACUGACGCUGAGGCGCGAAAGCGUGGGGAGCAAACAGG